CCAGACUCCUACGGGAGGCAGCAGUGGGGAAUAUUGCACAAUGGGGGAAACCCUGAUGCAGCGACGCCGCGUGAGUGAAGAAGUAUCUCGGUACGUAAAGCUCUAUCAGCAGGGAAGAAAAUGACGGUACCUGACUAAGAAGCCCCGGCUAACUACGUGCCAGCAGCCGCGGUAAUACGUAGGGGGCAAGCGUUAUCCGGAUUUACUGGGUGUAAAGGGAGCGUAGACGGCAGCACAAGUCUGGAGUGAAAUCCCGGGGCUUAACCCCGGAACUGCUUUGGAAACUGUGCGGCUGGAGUGCAGGAGGGGUAAGCGGAAUUCCUAGUGUAGCGGUGAAAUGUGUAGAUAUUAGGAGGAACACCAGUGGCGAAGGCGGCCUGCUGGACGAUGACUGACGUUGAGGCUCGAAAGCGUGGGGAGCAAACAGGAUUAGAUACCCUCGUAAAC
rnacentral:rRNA from 1 species